GCUUCAUUUGUGGCUCUCAUAGUAACGAGAGGAUCCCAUACAGAGCUGUAUGUUACUAUUUGGGUUCAAUGUGUCUCAGGUCAUGUUGUCUCUGAGGACGCUGCUAACGGAAGAAUGCUUUCUCAUGACCGACUUCAGCAGCAGGCACUUUGCAUAGAUUUAACUCUAGUGCAGAUUUGAAUUUAGUCACAGCAUUACUCUGGCCACCAUUGGAGUACAGGCACAUCUAAAAUGUUUUCUGAGAGUCUAUUAGAACCAGCCUUAAAAACAUGUAAUUGAAAGUGAAACUCAAGAGCCUCCUGGGCCAGAACUCACUCUAAGGAGAGAAGAGACCAGACAUAAAGACUUGAUCAUUGGAAGAUGGUGAGGAUUCUGAAUAGAAUAGAGUGGGUUUUGCUCUAAUUUUGUAUCAGUCGGGGGAUCUCAAAGAUGAAACCAAGGAUCCCCUGAAGUCAGGACAACUUGAGGAAAGUUUGGGAAUGUUUUACAAAGGGCUUCUGAUAUUCUGGAGAAACCAGUGUUAUCUGAGUGUUAAAGCUCAGUUAUUAAUCCUUUCUCAGAGUUCCGGGAUAAUGUUAUUGGCUUUCAAGCAUGUGAUGCAUCCCAAGAGAGCUGUUGACUUCCAGUCUGACCAAAUUCUUUCACGUUGUGGCGUGUACGAUGUAUAAACGUUUUGGAAUGCCUCUGAGACGACUUCUGCCGGUGAGUCUUUCCUCUGAGUGUCUUUGGGGCUAGAACAGUCAUGUCCAUUUCAUUGUUGAUUAGGUGUUCGUAUAAAAAAGAAUUUUUAAAUGCUUUACUUAACAGCUCUGAUUAACACUGAGUAUUUAGAUCCUGAUGUGUCAGUUAUAGACAUUUAAUCUCUCAUCAUUAAAUAUUUCUGCCUCUUUCACUGAAUAGAGGAGGAUGUAUGUGAGCAACAUAUGGGUGGAGUUGAUCUGAACAAGAAUUUAGGGAGGAGAAAAUUAUACGAUCUCUAAUUUUUUUAGGGAGAGGCUGAAUCUACCUCACUAACUUUUAUUAGGCUUGGCUCAAAGGCUCCUAUCUGUUCAUAGACCAUCCCAGUUUGGUGUGUCAGCUGAAAUAAUGUGCAGCUCUACAUUUAUUUAUUUGUUUGUUUAUUUAUUUAGUAAACUUACGGAGUUUCGCUCUUGUCCAGGCUGGAGUGCAAUGGCAUGAUUUUGGCUCACUGCAACUUCUGCCUCCCGGAUUCAAGCCAUUCUCCUGCCCUGGCCUCCCAAGUAGCUGGGAUUACAGGCAUGUGCCACCACAC
rnacentral:lncRNA from 1 species